CGAGCGAGCUUGCCUAGAUGAUUUUAGUGCUUGCACUAAAUGAAACUAGAUACAAGCGAGCGGCGGACGGGUGAGUAACACGUGGGUAACCUGCCCAAGAGACUGGGAUAACACCUGGAAACAGAUGCUAAUACCGGAUAACAACACUAGACGCAUGUCUAGAGUUUGAAAGAUGGUUCUGCUAUCACUCUUGGAUGGACCUGCGGUGCAUUAGCUAGUUGGUAAGGUAACGGCUUACCAAGGCAAUGAUGCAUAGCCGAGUUGAGAGACUGAUCGGCCACAUUGGGACUGAGACACGGCCCAAACUCCUACGGGAGGCAGCAGUGGGGAAUAUUGCACAAUGGGGGAAACCCUGAUGCAGCGACGCCGCGUGAGUGAAGAAGGGUUUCGGCUCGUAAAGCUCUGUUGGUAGUGAAGAAAGAUAGAGGUAGUAACUGGCCUUUAUUUGACGGUAAUUACUUAGAAAGUCACGGCUAACUACGUGCCAGCAGCCGCGGUAAUACGUAGGUGGCAAGCGUUGUCCGGAUUUAUUGGGCGUAAAGCGAGUGCAGGCGGUUCAAUAAGUCUGAUGUGAAAGCCUUCGGCUCAACCGGAGAAUUGCAUCAGAAACUGUUGAACUUGAGUGCAGAAGAAGAGAGUGGAACUC
rnacentral:rRNA from 1 species